rnacentral:rRNA from 1 species
AGAGUUCGAUCCUGGCUCAGAUUGAACGCUGGCGACGUGCUUAACACAUGCAAGUCGUGCGAGACUGUAGACUUCGGUCUAUGAGUAGAGCGGCGCACGGGUGAGUAACGCGUGGAUGAUCUACCCUUGAGUUCGGGAUAACGGAACGAAAGAUCCGCUAAUACCGUAUAACAAUCCAUUUCAACGUGGGUUCAAAGCAGGCCUCUCGACGAAGCUUGCGCUUGGGGAUGAGUCCGCGUCCCAUUAGCUUGUUGGCGGUGUAACGGCCCACCAAGGCAACGAUGGGUAGCUGGUCUGAGAGGAUGAUCAGCCACACUGGAACUGAAACACGGUCCAGACUCCUACGGGAGGCAGCAGUGGGGAAUAUUGCGCAAUGGGGGAAACCCUGACGCAGCGACGUCGUGUGAGGGAAGAAUGCCUUCGGGUCGUAAACCUCUGUCAGAAGGGAAGAACCGCCGGGAGUCGAAUAGGCUUUCGGUCUGACGGUACCUUCAGAGGAAGCGCCGGCUAACUCCGUGCCAGCAGCCGCGGUAAUACGGAGGGCGCAAGCGUUAAUCGGAAUUACUGGGCGUAAAGCGUGCGUAGGCUGUUUGAUAAGUCAGGCGUGAAAUCCCUCGGCUCAACCGGGGAACUGCGCUUGAUACUGUCGAACUCGAGUCCUGGAGAGGGUGGCGGAAUUCCUGGUGUAGGAGUGAAAUCCGUAGAUAUCAGGAGGAACACCGGUGGCGAAGGCGGCCACCUGGACAGGUACUGACGCUGAGGCACGAAAGCGUGGGGGAGCAAACAGGAUUAGAUACCCUG